GUGAAUCAUCGAAUCUUUGAACGCAAAUUGCGCUUCCUGGCAUCCCGGGAAGUAUGCCUGUUUGAGGGUCAGUAUUAAUAAAAACUCGGAUUGGUUGCCAAUUGUGACGUUUCCGGAGUUGGGACUAUCUUAACUUUUUUGGUUAAGGUGCUUAAAAUUGACCUUUUUUGCGCCUUUUUAGACGUACAUUAAUUUUUUUUAUCUUCGUCUAUUCUUAUUUCCAUAAUC
rnacentral:misc_RNA from 1 species